rnacentral:rRNA from 1 species
CAGCCGCCGCGGGAAUACGGAGGGUGCAAGCGUUAAUCGGAAUUACUGGGCGUAAAGCGCACGCAGGCGGUCUGUCAAGUCGGAUGUGAAAUCCCCGGGCUCAACCUGGGAACUGCAUUCGAAACUGGCAGGCUAGAGUCUUGUAGAGGGGGGUAGAAUUCCAGGUGUAGCGGUGAAAUGCGUAGAGAUCUGGAGGAAUACCGGUGGCGAAGGCGGCCCCCUGGACAAAGACUGACGCUCAGGUGCGAAAGCGUGGGGAGCAAACAGGAUUAGAGACCCGCGUAGUCCCUGUCUCUUAUAC